rnacentral:rRNA from 1 species
GUUUGAUCCUGGCUCAGGAUGAACGCUGGCGGCGUGCUUAACACAUGCAAGUCGAACGAAGCACUUUAAUCGAUUUCUUCGGAUUGAAAUUUUAGUGACUGAGUGGCGGACGGGUGAGUAACGCGUGGGUAACCUGCCUCACACAGGGGGAUAACAGUUGGAAACGGCUGCUAAUACCGCAUAAGCGCACAGUACCGCAUGGUACGGUGUGAAAAACUCCGGUGGUGUGAGAUGGACCCGCGUCUGAUUAGCUAGUUGGCAGGGCAACGGCCUACCAAGGCGACGAUCAGUAGCCGACCUGAGAGGGUGACCGGCCACAUUGGGACUGAGACACGGCCCAAACUCCUACGGGACGCAGCAG